CUGAAGUUCUGACCAUGCAGAAGGUCCAGCCCAAAUGGUCAACCAAGCUGGAACAAAAUGGAUUUGUACGUUCCUGAAACACCUUUCCCUAUAUUGAAGCCAGAUGACGUUAUCAAGCCUAUGGACUUGGGCAACAUAACAUGUCCAAAAGAGCCUCAGAAACAGGAAAAGAAAGUGGAGUGUCUUAUGCAAGACCCAGAUAUUUGGGUUAGUCCUCAAGUACAUUCUGAAACUCUGAUAGAGCAAUGCAAGAGCUGGUUUGGAAAUCUUCAGCAAUAAAGAGGAAACAAAUUAGUUCAUGUGUCUAAUUCAGG